UUGGGUUUGAAUACAAAUAAAAUCAUUUCUGGAAAAACUUGUCAUCAUAAUUACAAAUGAUGGAAACUAAUUUUAAGUGUAAUUAGAAGGUUUGUUGCAUCAUAUGGUACAACAAUAUUCGUCUUCAAUUCUUAGCAUUAAAAAGUUCACACAUUGUUCAACUCAAUGGAAGUGUAUGUAAUCCAUUAUGUUUCUACAGUUAUGAAUGCUCCUAGGAUACACUAAAACAUGUAAUGAAUAACUACACAAUUGCAGAACAUGCAGAUUCACAUGCAACGCACUCUCAACCACCAUCAUUCUGAAGUUCCACGAAAGUUGAACUCCCUCAACAAAUUUUCUCGUUUUGCAUUACGUGCAUCAAGGACCCAAUUACAAAUCAUUUCCUGACGGAAUGCUUGAAGCUCGUCCUGAAAUUAAUUUUGAAAAUCAAUUUUCAGUGCAGAAUAAAACUUAUAACUUGUACUCUACUAGUGAAGGGAACAAAUAC
rnacentral:lncRNA from 1 species